UACGAAGGGGGCUAGCGUUGCUCGGAAUCACUGGGCGUAAAGGGUGCGUAGGCGGUCCUUCAAGUCAGAGGUGAAAGCCCAGAGCUCAACUCUGGAACGGCCUUUGAGACUAGAGGACUUGGGUACGGGAGAGGUGAGUGGAAUUCCGAGUGUAGAGGUGAAAUUCGUAGAUAUUCGCAAGAACACCAGUGGCGAAGGCGGCUCACUGGCCCGGUACUGACGCUGAGGUGCGAAAGCGUGGGGAGCAAACAGG
rnacentral:rRNA from 1 species